UCCAGUGCGCAUGCGGAGGUCAGAGGGCAACCUGUGGGAGCCACUUCUGCCUUUUCUAUCCUGUGGAUCAUCAUUCUCGGCUGCAAAGUGCCUCUACCUGCUGAGCCAUCUCUCAAGCCCCUUUAUUUUUAACUCACAGAUACAAAGCGCUGAGCACGGCAGCGCUCAGCGCGCAAUAAGCACUCCGUCAACAUUCUCGAUUGUGAUUGCCCAGACGGACAGCACAGCGAGCAUCCAUCUGGCGCGGACCUCCUCUCUCCGGGUCUCUAACUUGCGGGAAACCUCAUCAGAAGGGGCAUCUUUAACUGAACAACUCUGAGCAGUACUUUUAAAUAUUUAAUGAAUUCCCGAGGCUCUUGGAAAGUAGAGUGAGAAACGUCCUGUAAAAAUCUAUUAGUGCUAAUAAAAUACCAGCCAACAGGCUGCCCAUUACCAGCAAUUAAGGUUUCUAAGAGGGUCAAAUAACCCUUUCAAUGAUUUGUGUGCAUCCCCUUCUUCGUUUUACGUAAGCAGACACUGAUGUGGUGUGUGUGUAGUCCCCACUCAUGCCUCAUGGUCCCAUCAAGAACCUGACAUAGACAUAUGGAUGCCAAGCUCCAAGCCACAGCUCAGAUAUUCAAAGACACAGUGCAGACAGCAAAGCUGGAGUACACGAGCCCCAUGUAAGCCUUCUGACAUCAGACAAGAAGCUACAGGAGUUUGCUCCGCUAGGUUUCAGUCUUGCUUUGAUCCAGUAUUUCCUCACUAGACCUCCAUCCCUCCAUUUUUGGAAUGGUGCAGGAUCUGAGAGGCAUCCAGCUGUUUCUGAUCACAAGUCUGCGUCAGCCCCGUCAGCAUCGUUCUGUUUGGGAGAUGGCAACAGAUGAAUGGAAUGUGGAGGAUGGACAUGAGAAGAUGUCCCACUUGCAGAGCAAUUGCUGGAGGUCACUGAGACAGGAGAGUGGAAUUUUAUCUCUGUUAAAUCCCCAAGCUUAGAGAGAAGACUUCAUUCUCUUUGCAGAAUUUAUUUUGCUAAUCCUGCCUUCUCCAGCCACACAACUCUACAACAAUAGUAAUAAAAGUCAGAUG